rnacentral:rRNA from 1 species
GUGAGGAAUAUUGGUCAAUGGGCGAGAGCCUGAACCAGCCAAGUCGCGUGAAGGAAGAAGGAUCUAUGGUUCGUAAACUUCUUUUGCAGGGGAAUAAAGUGCGGGACGUGUCCUGUUUUGUAUGUACCCUGAGAAUAAGGAUCGGCUAACUCCGUGCCAGCAGCCGCGGUAAUACGGAGGAUCCGAGCGUUAUCCGGAUUUAUUGGGUUUAAAUGGUGCGUAGGUGGUUUGAUAAGUCAGCGGUGAAAGUUUGCAGCUUAACUGUAAAAAUGCUGUUGAAACUGUCGGACUUGAGUGUAAAUGAGGUAGGCGGAAUGCGUGGUGUAGCGGUGAAAUGCAUAGAUAUCACGCAGAACUCCGAUUGCGAAGGCAGCUUACUAAGCUACAACUGACACUGAAGCACGAAAGCGUGGGGAUCAAACAGGAUUAGAAACCCCAGUAGUCC